UACAGAGGUCUCAAGCGUUGUUCGGAUUCAUUGGGCGUAAAGGGUGCGUAGGUGGGGAUGUAAGUUAGAUGUGAAAUACCGUUGCUCAACAACGGCCGUGCAUCUAAAACUGCGUUUCUAGAGGGAUAGCGGAGAAAACGGAAUUCCAUGUGUAGCGGUGAAAUGCGUAGAUAUAUGGAAGAACACCUGUGGCGAAAGCGGUUUUCUAGCUCAACCCUGACACUGAGGCACGAAAGCAAGGGGAGCAAACAGG
rnacentral:rRNA from 1 species